UACGUAGGGGGCAAGCGUUGUCCGGAAUCAUUGGGCGUAAAGAGCUCGUAGGCGGUUCAGUAAGUCAGGUGUGAAAGCUCCGAGCUCAACUCGGAGAGGCCACUUGAUACUGCUGUGACUAGAAUCCAGUAGGGGAGCGUGGAACUCCUGGUGUAGCGGUGAAAUGCGCAGAUAUCAGGAAGAACACCAGCGGCGAAGGCGGCGCUCUGGGCUGGAAUUGACGCUGAGGAGCGAAAGUGUGGGUAGCAAACAGG
rnacentral:rRNA from 1 species